rnacentral:rRNA from 1 species
AGAGUGAACGCUGGCGGUAGGCCUAACACAUGCAAGUCGAACGGCAGCACAGUGGUAGCAAUACCAUGGGUGGCGAGUGGCGGACGGGUGAGGAAUACAUCGGAAUCUACCUUUUCGGUGGGGGAUAACGUAGGGAAACUUACGCUAAUACCGCAUACGCCCUUUGGGGGAAAGCGGGGGAUCGCAAGACCUCGCGCGAUUGGAGCGGCUGAUAUCAGUAUUAGGGUUGUUGGUGAAGGUAAAACGCUCACCAACGCCGACGAUCUGUAGUCGUGGUUUGAGAGAACGACCAGCCACACGUGGGACUGACGACGACCGGACCCAGACCUCCGUACGGGGAGAC